GGAGGACGCCUGGGGUCUUAACCGAUGUGGUCCCUAUAGCAGGGCUCUGGGCCACUCCUAGCAUUGUGCCACAAGCUAAGUACCUUCAUAUCAGAGCUAACUAAUAAUUCCUUAUCUAUUGGGUGGCAAUUCCACCCUUACAUGCAUGUAGCUGAUAUCUCUCUCUCCCUCCUCGACAGGAAUAGCUGGCCUAUACUGGUGGUUCGCAGUCUCCGGGUGGUGGUCUUCCUCACUAGCCUCCCUACUUCCACAUGGUGUGUCUGAUGUUGCAGUGUCGUCACCUGGUUGCAGUGGCCACAUCCUCGCCAUACCCCCGGCCUCCCUUCCACUUUAACGGGAGAGCUUGUCAUUGCUGUGGCUGCUGUGUUUUAUUGAAUUAAUUAUGCAUUUGUCCGUUUGCUACUAAAUAAACAUAUGUAUUGCAUCA